rnacentral:rRNA from 1 species
UUGAACGCUGGCGGCAGGCCUAACACAUGCAAGUCGAGCGGUAGCACAGAGAGCUUGCUCUCGGGUGACGAGCGGCGGACGGGUGAGUAAUGUCUGGGAAACUGCCUGAUGGAGGGGGAUAACUACUGGAAACGGUAGCUAAUACCGCAUAACGUCGCAAGACCAAAGUGGGGGACCUUCGGGCCUCAUGCCAUCAGAUGUGCCCAGAUGGGAUUAGCUAGUAGGUGGGGUAACGGCUCACCUAGGCGACGAUCCCUAGCUGGUCUGAGAGGAUGACCAGCCACACUGGAACUGAGACACGGUCCAGACUCCUACGGGAGGCAGCAGUGGGGAAUAUUGCACAAUGGGCGCAAGCCUGAUGCAGCCAUGCCGCGUGUGUGAAGAAGGCCUUCGGGUUGUAAAGCACUUUCAGCGGGGAGGAAGGCGGUGAGGUUAAUAACCUCAUCGAUUGACGUUACCCGCAGAAGAAGCACCGGCUAACUCCGUGCCAGCAGCCGCGGUAAUACGGAGGGUGCAAGCGUUAAUCGGAAUUACUGGGCGUAAAGCGCACGCAGGCGGUCUGUCAAGUCGGAUGUGAAAUCCCCGGGCUCAACCUGGGAACUGCAUUCGAAACUGGCAGGCUAGAGUCUUGUAGAGGGGGGUAGAAUUCCAGGUGUAGCGGUGAAAUGCGUAGAGAUCUGGAGGAAUACCGGUGGCGAAGGCGGCCCCCUGGACAAAGACUGACGCUCAGGUGCGAAAGCGUGGGGAGCAAACAGGAUUAGAUACCCUGGUAGUCCACGCCGUAAACGAUGUCGAUUUGGAGGUUGUGCCCUUGAGGCGUGGCUUCCGGAGCUAACGCGUUAAAUCGACCGCCUGGGGAGUACGGCCGCAAGGUUAAAACUCAAAUGAAUUGACGGGGGCCCGCACAAGCGGUGGAGCAUGUGGUUUAAUUCGAUGCAACGCGAAGAACCUUACCUGGUCUUGACAUCCACAGAACUUUCCAGAGAUGGAUUGGUGCCUUCGGGAACUGUGAGACAGGUGCUGCAUGGCUGUCGUCAGCUCGUGUUGUGAAAUGUUGGGUUAAGUCCCGCAACGAGCGCAACCCUUAUCCUUUGUUGCCAGCGGUUAGGCCGGGAACUCAAAGGAGACUGCCAGUGAUAAACUGGAGGAAGGUGGGGAUGACGUCAAGUCAUCAUGGCCCUUACGACCAGGGCUACACACGUGCUACAAUGGCAUAUACAAAGAGAAGCGACCUCGCGAGAGCAAGCGGACCUCAUAAAGUAUGUCGUAGUCCGGAUUGGAGUCUGCAACUCGACUCCAUGAAGUCGGAAUCGCUAGUAAUCGUAGAUCAGAAUGCUACGGUGAAUACGUUCCCGGGCCUUGUACACACCGCCCGUCACACCAUGGGAGUGGGUUGCAAAAGAAGUAGGUAGCUUAACCUUCGGGAGGGCGCUUACCACUUUGUGAUUCAUGACUGGGGUG